GCCAGCAGCCGCGGUAAUACGGAGGGAGCUAGCGUUGUUCGGAAUUACUGGCAUAAAGCGCACGUAGGCGGCUUUGUAAGUUAGAGGUGAAAGCCUGGAGCUCAACUCCAGAACUGCCUUUAAGACUGCAUCGCUUGAAUCCAGGAGAGGUGAGUGGAAUUCCGAGUGUAGAGGUGAAAUUCGUAGAUAUUCGGAAGAACACCAGUGGCGAAGGCGGCUCACUGGACUGGUAUUGACGCUGGAGGUGCGAAAGCCGUGGGGGAGCAAACAGGGAUUAGGAUACCCCUGGUAAGUCCACGCCGUAAACGAUGAUAACUAGCUGUCCGGGGACUUGGUCUUUGGGUGGCGCAGCUAACGCAUUAAGUUAUCCGCCUGGGGAGUACGGCCGCAAGGUUAAAACUCAAAUGAAUUGACGGGGGCCUGCACAAGCGGUGGAGCAUGUGGUUUAAUUCGAAGCAACGCGCAGAACCUUACCAGCGUUUGACAUGUCCGGACGAUUU
rnacentral:rRNA from 1 species